rnacentral:piRNA from 1 species
UCAGAAAGGCUGGCCAGCCGGGCCA